CAAGUGCUUGUUUGCUCUUGUCAUGUUUAGAAUAAUUUCAUGAAGUUCCUCAUUGUACAAUUGCAUCUUUUCAUUAGCAGCCUCCAUUGACUUUAUCUUUUCAUUCUUCUCAUCCAAAAAUUUCAACAAGCCUUGCCCAAUCUCCAGCCCCUUUGGACAAAUCUCAGGCUCCAACCACUGAAACCUGCAAAUCUUCUUCCUGGAUUGAGAGGAGUCCAAGCUGUUCGAGUUACAGCAUUUUUAUGGCACUUGCAUGUUGUGCCUAAAAAAAUAGACAAAUAGUGUCGUGAUUUGUGACAUGAAUGACAAUAAUCUUGUGAAUUUGAGCUAUUACUCGACAUUUUUCAAUAUUUAACAAAAAAAAGGAAUAUUAACGUGCUUUAUAAGAAGGAAAAAAGAAGGGGAAAAAUGGAAAAUGAAGAAAUUUAGAGAAUUUUUUUUCAAUAUUUAACAAAAUAAAGGGAUAUUAACGUGCUUUAUAAGAAGGAAAAAAGAAGGGAAAAAAUGGAAAAUGAAGAAAUUUAGAGAAAAAAUGAUGAAGAAAAAAGUUUUUGAAAACCUCUAUAACCCACACAAACAUAUAUAUACUAGUAUGAGGGGCAAAAGGGUCAAAAAAUGUUCCAACGGGUAUAAAAACGGCUA